rnacentral:rRNA from 1 species
CUGGCGGCGUGCCUAAUACAUGCAAGUCGAACGGGUCUUUCUAUGGAAGCUUGCUUCCACUGAGAAGAUAGUGGCGAACGGGUGAGUAACACGUGGGGUAACCUGCCCAUAAGAGGGGGGAGUAACAUCCGGAAACGGGUGCUAAUACCGCAUAGUUUUCUUGAUCGCAUGAUCGGGAAAGGAAAGACGGCCUUUGUGCUGUCGCUUAUGGAUGGACCCGCGGCGUAUUAGUUAGCUGGUGAGGUAACGGGCUCACCAAGACGAUGAUACGUAGCCGACCUGAGAGGGUGAUCGGCCACAUUGGGACUGAGACACGGCCCAAACUCCUACGGGAGGCAGCAGUAGGGAAUCUUCCGCAAUGGACGAAAGUCUGACGGAGCAACGCCGCGUGAGUGAAAGAAGGUUUUCGGAUCGUAAAACUCUGUUGUCAGAGAAGAACAAGUUGGAGAGUAACUGCUCCAGCCUUGACGGUAUCUGACCAGAAAGCCACGGCUAACUACGUGCCAGCCGCGGC